ACAUGACGUAGCAACUAAGCAUAGAGAAGCACCAGUACAAUUUUUAUUUAAAGUAUCUUAAUAACUGCAUCAUUUCUGUUCAACCAGGUAGCCCCCCUGCUUGGCUGAGCAUCCAAAGAUUCACCUGGAACUGAUAAACCCCUAGUUUCGUAGUCUCCUCUCUCUCCCCCUUUCCACAAAGCUCUGCUCCAGCCCAUCAGAAGUGCUGCCUUCCCUGAACCAGCUGUGAACUUGGCUCCUUCUAUGUCUUCUGUCCCUGCUCCUCCUUCAAGAUCUGGAAGAACAGCUAUGGAAUCUCAACCAUCCUCCAGGAACCUCUAAAAACCCCACCCACGGUCCAGCCUGGAAAGGGUCAGCCAGUGGCUCCUGCAGGCCCUUCCUGGCUGUGACUGCCAUCUUGUGGACACAGAUAGUAACUGCACUGGGGCCAGCCUCAAACACGCACCUAAGGACCAAAAGACUUCAUGACAAACAAGAACUGUGGACCAUCUGUGAUCCAGGUGUAAUAAUCAGCAGAAUUGUUUUUCCCAACUGGACAGUGAUUCCGGAUCUUCAGAGCUGCAAGAGUUGCAAGAGUCUAGUGAUCACUUUCAGUGGAAGCAUGAGUAAACAAUGGUCAUGCCUGGUAUCUAGGGAAUUUAUAUAUGUAACUUCAUUCAUUUUUAACUUCAUGAAAGAAAAAGAAACUAAAUGGAAGCUAAAGGAAUCUUUACACUUUAAGUAAACCUUUAUCAUAAGAAAUUAUUUUCUAAUGCAUUCCUUGAGGGUUAAGGAAAAUUUUGAAAUCAGUUAAGGGAUUGAAAUCUUUGGGUUUUUUAAAAACUGAAUCUUUCAAGUUAAGAUGAGAUAAAUUGUCUUUCUCUAAUAAAUGAAGUCAUUAGCACAAUGUCAUGUCCUCAGCCCCAUCUCCUGAUUUUUAUGCUAUGUUUUUAUUUUGUCAAGACAGAACAGCUCGCAGUCUUUUCAUCAGCCCAGUUUUUGCAAUGACAUCAUGUUCACUUGAUAUUCAAGUGAAAGCACUGCUCCUCACUGGGCUUCCCC
rnacentral:lncRNA from 1 species